AGCAAAGAAAAGAUACACAUCUAUAGGAAAGAUUUUCAUCUGUUCAGUGCCAAGAACAAAUUUUCCUGCUAAGAAUUCUUGCCAGUCUGUGAUUAUUCUAAGCAUAUUUCUCACUUGUAUUUGUUGACCAAUGUUUUAAUACUCCUCUUUCCUUCCUCCUCUUUAUUCCCUCAUUCCUAACAUUGCCCUUUACUGUUUUAUUUGCUACUUAGUCAUAUUUGUUCCUAUUCCUUCUCUCCUGGUGUUGAUGUUUUCACAUUUUUCUAUUGUUUGUCAGCUUGCAGCAUGUGGACUGCAGGUUCACAGAUGUCAGAAAAUGGAACUGCAUUAGUUAAGACUUUGGUGGGGGUGAGAAAGGAAGAAGAAAUCUUCAUUCUGUCUUUUGAGAUGGAAAAAUGGCAGUUAUUUAUACUGGGAAUUUUGGAAAAUGAUUUUCUGAGUGGCACAUUUACAGAACAGUCUUUGUACUAAAAUGUUAGGAGCUAGAAGAGGUGGACUCCUUCCCAGCUCCAAGAAAAUAAUGUCUCCAACUACCUUGAGUUCUUUCCAUAAUUUUUUUUGCAUGUGAACAGAAUGUUACUCAUAAACUUCCUUCAAAACA